GUAGACCUCCAGGCCUGGGCAAAGGGCCACGGGGGAGGGUCGGUGUCCACGACUUAGUGGGCUUCGAGUCCCCCAAUGCCCAGGGCUCUGCCCUCCUGCCAGAUUCUCACCAGAAGUGGAGACGUUGGCCGUGUUGCUGGGAUCACUGACAUAGCUACCGGCGAAGGCCACAAGGCGGAACUCGUAGAGAACGUCCUGGGGGUUGGGGUCCAGGAAGGGGGUUAGGGCUCAGCACUGCCCACCCCCAACCCCGUUCGGAAAGACUUUGCAGUUGGAAGGUACGGGUGAAGUGGACAGCCGGAGGGGCCACUACCAAUGGGGGUGAAGACUGGGACUGCAGACUCCAGGAGAGCCACUCACGGGGAAUCCAGUGUGCACGGCACACCCUGGGGUUGAGCUUGAAAGGUGUGGGUCUCCCAGCCUGCUGUCUUCCCAGCACUCCGAGAUUACAUUCUGCAUCUUCCACCCCAAAUCGGUUCUUCUUCCUGGCUUCCCUAGUUCUGUGUUAAAGGCUAACAUCCGACUCCUCACUCUGUCUCACGCCCCACGUCUGUCCUCCUGGGAAGGCCUUUUGUCCCAUCUAUCUUCAUGUCCUCCUUUCUAGCUCAGGCCUCGUAACCUCUCACCCACACUCUCAUUUCAAUAGCCUCUGUACCCCCUCUGUCUGUCCAGUCUCUUCCUCUCCAUUCCUAUCACACCGUUGCCCAAGCAACUUCACUGCCUCCGAAUGCCUUUGGACUUUUUUUUUAAACCUUAGACAAAAAUUUAUUGAGCACCACUACAGUUGCAGUAGCCCUGGGGAGACUAGGAUUAAAAGAUGAAAUACCAGCCCA